AUCGUUCAUCUUUUUUGCAAGUAUAAGAAAAGACAGAAGUAAGAAACUAUUUCAACAUCCUGAAAGAACGCACC
rnacentral:ncRNA from 2 species